CCUGUUUUCCAUAUUUAAGUCCCAAAUUUUGACUGACAAAUAGUCUCUAGUCAUCAUAUAUCGACCACUAUGGCUGAAUUUUACAUCCGAAAUAGAGGAGAUGAUUUCGGAAAAAAAUGACCUGUUACUGGGAUCUUCAGGUUCUUGAUUAAUCCGCAAAUCAUCUGCAGAUAAAUAUGUUUCAUAAUCACUAUUAAUAGAAAUUGAGUUGAUGUGAUAUGUAUGAGCAUUGGCAAAUAUUCUUCGUGGACUGGCCUCAACCAUUAGAUCCAUAGGCCUAAAGACUGGCACCU
rnacentral:lncRNA from 1 species